AUUAGCUCAGUUGGCUAGAGUGUCCCGAGGUUGCACUCGGGAAGGUCACCGGUUCGACUCCGGUAUUCUCCA
rnacentral:tRNA from 1 species